GGAUGAACGCUAGCGACAGGCCUAACACAUGCAAGUCGAGGGGCAGCACAUGAGUAGCAAUACGAUGGUGGCGACCGGCGCACGGGUGAGUAACACGUAUGCAACCUGCCUGUAAGAGGGGAAUAACCCAGAGAAAUUCGGACUAAUACCGCAUAAUACCACGAGACUGCAUGGUUUUGUGGUUAAACAUUUAUGGCUUACAGAUGGGCAUGCGUAUGAUUAGAUAGUUGGUAGGGUAACGGCCUACCAAGUCUACGAUCAUUAGGGGUUCUGAGAGGAAGGUCCCCCACACUGGUACUGAGACACGGACCAGACUCCUACGGGAGGCAGCAGUGAGGAAUAUUGGUCAAUGGGCGAGAGCCUGAACCAGCCAAGUCGCGUGAAGGAAGAAGGUUCUAUGGAUUGUAAACUUCUUUUGCAGGGGAAUAAAGGACGGUACGUGUACUGUUUUGUAUGUACCUUGCGAAUAAGGAUCGGCUAACUCCGUGCCAGCAGCCGCGGUAAUACGGAGGAUCCGAGCGUUAUCCGGAUUUAUUGGGUUUAAAGGGUGCGUAGGCGGCCGAGUAAGUCAGCGGUGAAAUUUUGCAGCUUAACUGUAACAGUGCCGUUGAUACUGCAUGGCUAGGAUUUGGUUGCUGUGGGUGGAAUGUGUGGUGUAGCGGUGAAAUGCUUAGAUAUCACACAGAAUAUCAAUUGCGAAGGCAGCUCACAAAGCCAAGAUUGACGCUGAGGCACGAAAGUGUGGGGAUCAAACAGGAUUAGAUACCCUGGUAGUCCACACUGUAAACGAUGAUAACUCACUGCCGGCGAUACACAGUCGGUGGCCAAGCGAAAGCGAUAAGUUAUCCACCUGGGGAGUACGACCGCAAGGUUGAAACUCAAAGGAAUUGACGGGGGCCCGCACAAGCGGAGGAACAUGUGGUUUAAUUCGAUGAUACGCGAGGAACCUUACCCGGGCUCGAACGGUGCAUGAAUAAGCAAGAGAUUGUUUAGUCCUUCGGGACAUGUAUCGAGGUGCUGCAUGGUUGUCGUCAGCUCGUGCCGUGAGGUGUCGGCUUAAGUGCCAUAACGAGCGCAACCCUUGUUGUUAGUUACCAACAGGUAAAGCUGGGGACUCUAACGAGACUGCCACCGUAAGGUGUGAGGAAGGGGGGGAUGACGUCAAAUCAGCACGGCCCUUAUGUCCGGGGCGACACACGUGUUACAAUGGGGGGUACAGAGGGCAGCCAUCCGGUGACGGAGCGCCAAUCUCCAAAACCCUUCUCAGUUCGGAUUGGAGUCUGCAACCCGACUCCAUGAAGUUGGAUUCGCUAGUAAUCGCGCAUUAGCCAUGGCGCGGUGAAUACGUUCCCGGGCCU
rnacentral:rRNA from 1 species